GAUACCUAGGAGGUCUCCUAACCGAGUUUAAAGGAAUCAUUCAGACUUACAUUCAUUCAACAAAUAUUUAUUGGGUACCUACAUCAUGCCAGAUGCUAUGCUAAAUACAGGCUACACAGGGAUAAAAAGAACAGAUACAGAACCACCCUUAUAGUAUACACAGGACCACGGCUCAGCCUCAGGAAAAAGACUGCCAGGAGCCAAAUCUUAGCUUUUCUACUUACUAGCUGUGUAAUCUUAGAUAACUUAGCCAUUUUGUACCUCAGCUACAUAAGAGUUGUUGAGAAGGUUAAAUGAAUCAAAAUAUAUAAAGCAUAUAUAACAGUGCCUGGUAGAUAGUAAGUACAGCACAGGUGUUACAGGUUAUUGUUUUAGGAAUCAAAUGGAAAGGAGAAAUUCUACAAAUUUAUAUAUAUACACAUAUACAUUAUAUAUACACAUAUACAUUAUAUAUACAUAUAUAUGUAAAACAUUUCAUGAAACAAUACAUAAUAUUGCAUGAUAAAUUCAAAGGAUGAAAAGUACAAGGACUCCUCAUUCAGAUGGGGGCUCAAGGAAGGACCUCCUUUCACUUAGCAUAACGUUUUCAAGGUUCAUCCAAGUUGAGGCAUGUAUCAGAACCUCAUUCCUUUUUAUGGCCAAAUAAUAUUUCAUUUUAUGGCCAUACCACAGUUUCUCAGUUCAUCACCUGCUGAAUAUUUGGGUUGUUUCUACUUUUUGGCUAUUAUGAAUAAUGCUGCUUAAAAUGUACAAACUUUUGUGUGAACGUAUGUUCUCAUUGCUCUUGGAUAUAUAUCUAGGAUUGGAAUUGUUAGGUUAUAUGAUGACUCUAUGUUUAUCUUUUGGAAAACCACCAGACUGUUUCUAAAUUCUUCACCUCCUCUCCAAUACUUGUUAUCAUCUGUCUUUUCGAUUACAGCCAUCCCAGUGCGUGUGAAGUAUAAUACUAUCUCAUAUUUUGAUUUGCAUUCUUUGAUGACUAAGAAUGGUGAGCAUUUUUUCAUGUGCUUAUUAGCCAUUUGGGCAUCUUGUUUGGAGAAGUAGCUAAUCAGAUCCGUCACCUAUUUUUUAAUUGGGUAUUUGCUUUCUUAGUAUGAAGUUGUAAGCAUUCUUUAUAUAUUCUAGAUAGAAGUCAUUUAUCAGAUAUAUAAUUUGCAAACAUAUUCUCCCAUUCUGUAGGUGGUCUUUUUUUUUUUUAAUGGCAUCUUUUGAAGCACAAAGUAUCUUAAUUUUGAUGAAGUUCAAUUUAUCUGUUUUUUUUCUUUUGUCACUAAUGCUUUUGAUGUCAUACCUUAAAAAGCCUUUUUUGGCCUGGCACAGUGGCUCAUGCCUAUAAUCCCAGCACUUUGGGAGGCUGAUGCAGGUGGAUCACCUGAGGUGAAUCACGAGGUCAACAGAUCAAGACCAUCCUGGCCAACAUGGUGAAACCCC
rnacentral:lncRNA from 1 species